GAUGAACGCUGGCGGCGUGCCUAAUACAUGCAAGUCGAGCGAACGGACGAGAAGCUUGCUUUUCUGAUGUUAGCGGCGGACGGGUGAGUAACACGUGGAUAACCUACCUAUAAGACUGGGAUAACUUCGGGAACCCGGAGCUAAUCCCGGAUAAUAUUUUGACCCGCAUGGUUCAAAAGUGAAAGACGGUCUUGCUGUCACUAAUAGAUGGAUCCGCGCUGCAUUAGCUAGUUGGUAAGGUAACGGCUUACCAAGGCAACGAUGCAUAGCCGACCUGAGAGGGUGAUCGGCCACACUGGAACUGAGACACGGUCCAGACUCCUACGGGAGGCAGCAGUAGGGAAUCUUCCGCAAUGGGCGAAAGCCUGACGGAGCAACGCCGCGUGAGUGAUGAAGGUCUUCGGAUCGUAAAACUCUGUUAUUAGGGAAGAACAUAUGUGUAAGUAACUGUGCACAUCUUGACGGUACCUAAUCAGAAAGCCACGGCUAACUACGUG
rnacentral:rRNA from 1 species